CAUAACGACUCUCGGCAACGGAUAUCUCGGCUCUCGCAUCGAUGAAGAACGUAGCGAAAUGCGAUACUUGGUGUGAAUUGCAGAAUCCCGUGAACCAUCGAGUCUUUGAACGCAAGUUGCGCCCGAAGCCUCACGGCCGAGGGCACGCCUGCCUGGGCGUCACGCA
rnacentral:rRNA from 35 species